AGAGUUUGAUCAUGGCUCAGGAUGAACGCUAGUACAGGCUUAACACAUGCAAGUCGAGGGGCAGCAUGAACUUAGCUUGCUAAGUUUGAUGGCGACCGGCGCACGGGUGAGUAACACGUAUCCAACCUGCCGAUGACUCGGGGAUAGCCUUUCGAAAGAAAGAUUAAUACCCGAUGGCAUAGUUCUUCCGCAUGGUAGAACUAUUAAAGAAUUUCGGUCAUCGAUGGGGAUGCGUUCCAUUAGGUUGUUGGCGGGGUAACGGCCCACCAAGCCUUCGAUGGAUAGGGGUUCUGAGAGGAAGGUCCCCCACAUUGGAACUGAGACACGGUCCAAACUCCUACGGGAGGCAGCAGUGAGGAAUAUUGGUCAAUGGACGAGAGUCUGAACCAGCCAAGUAGCGUGAAGGAUGACUGCCCUAUGGGUUGUAAACUUCUUUUAUACGGGAAUAAAGUGAGGCACGUGUGCCUUUUUGUAUGUACCGUAUGAAUAAGGAUCGGCUAACUCCGUGCCAGCAGCCGCGGU
rnacentral:rRNA from 1 species